UACGUAGGUGGCAAGCGUUGUCCGGAUUUACUGGGCGUAAAGAGCGCGCAGGCGGUCGGAUAAGUCGAAUGUGAAAGCCCCCGGCUCAACUGGGGAGGGUCAUUCGAUACUGUUCGACUGGAAGGCAGGAGAGGGAAGCGGAAUUCCCGGUGUAGUGGUGAAAUGCGUAGAGAUGUGGAGGAACACCGAUGGCGAAGGCAGCCUCCUGGGCCAGCACUGGACGCUCCAUGCACGAAAGCGUGGGGAGCAAACAGG
rnacentral:rRNA from 1 species